rnacentral:ncRNA from 2 species
AUCUUAUCAAGAGAGACGGAGGGAUAUGGCCCUGUGAAGUCUCAGCAACCAGCCUUAUAGGCAAGGUGCUAAAUCCAGCAGUAAUCUGCAAGAUAAGAG